GCUGCUUAAUAUAAUGGAGGAAAAAGUGGAGGCAGAGGCUGUAGCGCCAAGACUGUGAUGCAGAACAGAGGAGUCAUGCCAAGACACUGAGACAGGUGGAUCAGCAGGGCUGAGAGCUUGAGGGAGAGCCAUGAGGCAGUGUGGCAGACUGCCUGCACCAGCGAACAAAGACAGCUCCUGGUUUGAGGAGCUGAUGAACUAUGUAGGUUCCGCAGGAAGGUCACUGACUGGUGGUUGCAGAGGAGAAUGAAUCCAAGGUCAGUAGGUGGUAUUAGAACAAGCAUCUGGAGGUGGGUGGAUGCUGAGAUUGGAAUUAUUUG